rnacentral:precursor_RNA from 1 species
ACGAUGUAGUUAAGAAGAUGGUUAGGGAGGGUGCAGCGGGCUUCAGGAUCAAUUGCGCCCACGGCGAUGAAGCCGAUUGGCUGGAGUACGUGAAGAUAGUGAGGGAGGUGUCCUCGGAGCUCGACCAGGCGAUCCCACUUAUACUGGAUACUCCGGGACCCCAGGUUAGGAGCGGCGACUUCCAGGAGUUCAAGGUGGUUCGCGGCGAUAAAGUAUUGUUCUCAAUGGACCCGGAUGCUAAGGAAGGGAAGCACAUCGUUGUCCCGGCACGGGAAUUC